AAAGAGGGGUAAUAUGUCUCUUGGGCGCGGGAGAAGAAAAAAAGGUAAACAAAGGAUAGUUUAAUGUAAAAUUCCGGUUUUGGGGACCGGGGAAAAAGGUUUAGGAGCCUUUUCUUUUGA
rnacentral:tRNA from 1 species